rnacentral:rRNA from 1 species
UACGUAGGGGGCAAGCGUUGUCCGGAUUUAUUGGGCGUAAAGAGCGUGUAGGCGGCCAUGUAGGUCCGUUGUGAAAACUCGAGGCUCAACCUCGAGACGCCGAUGGAAACCAUGUGGCUAGAGUCCGGAAGAGGAGAGUGGAAUUCCUGGUGUAGCGGUGAAAUGCGCAGAUAUCAGGAAGAACACCCGUGGCGAAGGCGGCUCUCUGGUACGUGACUGACGCUGAGACGCGAAAGCGUGGGGAGCGAACAGG